rnacentral:rRNA from 1 species
AUGGAGCGACCAACGUCGGAACACCAGCAGGCAGUGAAGAGGAUCGUCCGCUACAUAGCAGGGACCCUCGACCACGGCCUCCAUUACCCUAGGUGCCCUGGGGCGGCACACUUCGUCGGGUACAGCGACAGCGACCACGCCGGCGACAUCGACACCAGCAAGAGCACGAGCGGGAUCCUCCUCUUCCUCGGCAAGUGUCUCGUGAGCUGGCAAUCAGUCAAGCAGCAGGUGGUGGCCCUGUCCAGCUGUGAGGCUGAGUACAUAGCGGCCUCCACCGCCUGUACUCAGGCGCUCUGGCUUGCUCGACUGCUUGGUGAUCUUCUCGUUCAAGACACCAGAACGGUGCAGCUCCUGGUGGACAGCAAGUCCGCCCUGGCCCUGGCAAAGAACCCCGUGUUCCACGAACGGAGCAAGCACAUCCGACUGAGGUAUCACUUCAUCCGCAGCUGUGUGGAAGAAGGGAGCAUCGAGGCGAGCUACAUCAACAUCAAGGAUCAGCUCGCAGACCUGCUCACCAAGCCCCUUGGGAGGGUCAAGUUCCUCGAACUUUGCUCCAGGAUUGGGAUGAUUCAAACAAGACGACGUACAAGACUUAGGGGGAGAAUGAUGGAUAAGUCUGUGUACUAG